CGCCGUAGCGAGCGGCGUUCCUUUCCCAUCGCCGCUUUUUCUCCGCAGGAAAUCGAUCCCCUUCGCCGCCAAGAUGCCGCGGAUUAUGAUUAAAGGCGGUGUGUGGCGGAACACCGAGGAUGAAAUUCUGAAAGCAGCUGUGAUGAAAUAUGGCAAAAACCAGUGGUCUCGUAUUGCUUCCUUACUGCAUCGGAAAUCA